rnacentral:rRNA from 1 species
GAUGAACGCUGGCUACAGGCUUAACACAUGCAAGUCGAGGGGAAACGGCAUUGAGUGCUUGCACUGAAUGGACGUCGACCGGCGCACGGGUGAGUAACGCGUAUCCAACCUUCCCGUUACUGCGGGAUAACCUGCCGAAAGGCAGACUAAUACCGCAUGUUCUUCGAUGACGGCAUCAGAUUCGAAGCAAAGAUCCGUCGGUAACGGAGGGGGAUGCGUCUGAUUAGCUAGUUGGCGGGGCGACGGCCCACCAAGGCGACGAUCAGUAGGGGUUCUGAGAGGAAGGUCCCCCACAUUGGAACUGAGACACGGUCCAAACUCCUACGGGAGGCAGCAGUGAGGAAUAUUGGUCAAUGGGCGGAAGCCUGAACCAGCCAAGUAGCGUGCAGGAGGACGGCCCUACGGGUUGUAAACUGCUUUUAUGCGGGGAUAAAGUGAGGGACGCGUCCCUUUUUGCAGGUACCGCAUGAAUAAGAACCGGCUAAUUCCGUG